UAAGCCAUCCAGGGGCCUGAUGUAAUUUCAUCAAAGUUUAUUUUUAUGAAUAAAGAUUUCAGAAUCGAUUCCUCAUGUAUGUCCCUGUGAUUGAAGAUCAGGGACAUUUCUAUGUUAUGCAAGUCUGUUCUUGAGCAGUAAUGUCAAGGUCAGAGGUUAAUGUUAGUGAGGGGUCAAGGUCAAUGAUAGAAGUCAAAUUUGUGUUCCAUGGGACUUGAUCACUGUGGAGAAAUGUGGUUUUACCAAUGCAUCUUGUUUUUGUUUUCCAAUAUUGUGGAAAUGUCCAAUUUCAGAGGGUUUUGUUGUUGUUGAUUUUUUUCUUUAUCAUUUCAUUAUUUAUGUAAUGUUGCAUUGAGUCGUCGAUAUCCAUGGUAUAAAAUGUUGAAUAUAUAUCUAUAUAUGAAAAAAAAAUUAUUUUGAUAUAAUUACUGUUAUGUAUGACACAAUUAAAUGAUGUGUGAAUACUGUGAUCACUUGAAAGAUAUUUUAAACGAAAAUAUUUUUACAUUUCAUAUUAUAUGUCAUUUAAAAUAUUUGUGUUCAUUUUGCCUUUACAAGUAUUGUUAUAUUUUACAUUUUUUUUCUGGAAAAAAAUAAAUCCCACUUAUGUGUUAAGUAAUAUAAAAAACUAAGUUGCAAAAUUGUAUUGGCUGGAUAUGAUAUUUUUUCUUUCCAAAGGAAAAAAAGUUAUGGAUUCAGAAAUAUGUUUUUUUUUUCUUCAAAAUAUACAUGUAGACAUCUACAUGUAAAUGUGAUACACAUCUGAUGAAAUAAAAAUUUUCAAUUUAAAUUUUUUUAUUCUACCCCAAG
rnacentral:sRNA from 1 species